rnacentral:lncRNA from 1 species
AGCUUUUCAAAUCUUUUCAAGUGUUGUUUAAAAACAAUUAUAAAAAAGUCUUGUUCAUGACCAUUGGAGCUCAAACAUUGAAACCCAUCCUUUAUUUUUUUGCCUUCACAUUUUAAAAUGUUUGGUAUUGUUUAAAAAAAUUAUAAAAAAUUAUGGGUCAUGACCGUUGAAGGUCAGACCCUUGAAACCCUUUCAUUUUUUUUAAAAAAAAUUGCCUUUGUU